AAUGCUGUGCCUGAUAAAAGGAUUACUGUGAUAGAGUAAAUUAUGUAAUAAAGUUACCUCCAUUA
rnacentral:tRNA from 1 species